CUCACUUCCCAUCUAUGCUAAACGCCAUAUAAAAGUUCCCGUGUCUUAAAGCUCUUCAUUCAGUCAACUUUAAUCUUCUAAAUGUGUUUCCGAUGGCUGAGGAGGAUCUUUCAGUUUUUCCGAGGGAGAUGCUCCCGCCAGAACAGGGGUUACAGCAAUGGCAUCUCCUCACACUACGGGGACACUCGGAGCCUGCAGGGACGCGGCUCUAUCUUCUGCAGCGGAGAGGGCUCCAUCAUCUACAGCCGGGGAGCUGCACCCACAUCCUUCCCCUAUAGCAUCACAGCGGGGUGCACGCCCGGCAGCGAUGGGGUUGUUGUAAUAUCUGGGGGUGAUAGUGAGGGGGCAUCUGGAUGGAGCACGACGGGAGGGACAGUCCCAACCUACAGCCCCCAGGGGGCAGUGGGGUAUGGCACUGAGGACACAGGAUGGGGUAUGGUAGGUGGGUCAUUCAGCAGGUGGUGGAGGAUCAGGAUGCUACAGUGGGAAAUUGGGUGUUGGGAGAGGUUCUGGCUGUGGGUAUGAUGCGUCUCAGAGACAAAAGGCUGUAAGCACAAGUGCUGGACAAGGGCUGUAUGGUGGAGUAUCGGGCUAUGGCACCGGGGGAGAGAUCAGCUCUGGAAGUGCUGGGAUGGCACAGGUCAUGCAGCAGAAGUGCCCCGUGGUCAUCCCCGACAUUGAGCCCCAACAGAUCAAGCAGAGCUGCCAGUGGCCCCCCAGCCAGAAGAAAUGAAGGACCCUACAGAUCUCACUCUGUGAUCCAGAUGUGCCACGCUGCAAUUUUUGCCAUGGACAAGGAGCUCUGCAUUCCUCCCAUCAGGCUGUUCUUCCAGCAUCGGGAAGGGGAUCUGUGCAUCACUGACAGCAAAAAAUUCCUUCCACCCUCUCCUUUUUCUCAUAGGUUGGGAAAAGAUUCCUUCCUUCUUCUCAUUUUUCUCUUGGUUUGGGAAAUUAAACCUCAGGCUCUAUAGGAACAUCAGCAUCAAGAUAAUUUGCUUCAUUCUGUCCUCCUUCAUUUGACAUAUGUACAAGACACCCAAAGAGAUCACUUCAAGAUAGGCUACAGAAGAUUGAUUUUCCUAUUGAUACGAUAUGUACUUUAUAACUAAAUCAAUUAAAUGCCACGUUGAUUUUAACACAAUUAAAAUACACCGUUUACAACAGCAGGAAAAGCUGCUUCCUGGCUCUGGCAGACAUCAGAGCCCCUUGUGCUGCUCCCACAUUCCCAAUGGGGCCCCUCAG
rnacentral:lncRNA from 1 species